CCUACUGGAGGCUGCAGUGGGGAAUAUUGGACAAUGGGGGGAACCCUGAUCCAGCCAUGCCGCGUGUGUGAAGAAGGCCCUCGGGUUGUAAAGCACUUUCAGUGAGGAAGAACGCCUGGUGGUUAAUACCCAUCAGGAAAGACAUCACUCACAGAAGAAGCACCGGCUAACUCCGUGCCAGCAGCCGCGGUAAUACGGAGGGUGCGAGCGUUAAUCGGAAUUACUGGGCGUAAAGCGCGCGUAGGUGGCUUGAUAAGCCGGUUGUGAAAGCCCCGGGCUCAACCUGGGAACGGCAUCCGGAACUGUCAAGCUAGAGUGCAGGAGAGGAAGGUAGAAUUCCCGGUGUAGCGGUGAAAUGCGUAGAGAUCGGGAGGAAUACCAGUGGCGAAGGCGGCCUUCUGGACUGACACUGACACUGAGGUGCGAAAGCGUGGGUAGCAAACAGGAUUAGUUACCCCAGUAGUC
rnacentral:rRNA from 1 species